AGACGGUAGGGGGCGAGCGUUGUCCGGAAUUACUGGGCGUAAAGAGCACGUAGGCGGAUAUUUAAGUCAGGUGUGAAAGACCGCAGCUCAACUGCGGGGUUGCACCUGAAACUGGGUAUCUUGAGGGCAGGAGAGGGAAGUGGAAUUCCUGGUGUAGCGGUGAAAUGCGUAGAAAUCAGGAGGAACACCAGUGGCGAAGGCGACUUUCUGGACUGACCCUGACGCUGAGGUGCGAAAGCGUGGGGAGC
rnacentral:rRNA from 1 species